rnacentral:rRNA from 1 species
CCCGCACAAGCGGUGGAGCACGUGGUUUAAUUCGAUGACAAACCGAAGACCUUACCUGGGUUUGACAUGUACGUGGUACGGAUAUGAAAGUUGAAGGACUCCGCUUUCGGGUGGAGAGCGUACACAGGUGCUGCAUGGCUGUCGUCAGCUCGUGUCGUGAGAUGUUGGGUUAAGUCCCGCAACGAGCGCAACCCUUGCCUUUAGUUACCAGCAGUUCGGCUGGGCACUCUAAAGGGACUGCCGGUGUUAAACCGGAGGAAGGUGGGGAUGACGUCAAGUCCUCAUGGCCUUUAUGACCAGGGCUACACACGUACUACAAUGGCCGAUACAAAGGGCAGCGACACUGCGAGGUGAAGCCAAUCCCGUAAAAUCGGUCUCAGUCCGGAUUGGAGUCUGCAACUCGACUCCAUGAAGUUGGAAUCGCUAGUAAUCGUGGAUCAGCAUGCCACGGUGAAUACGUUCCCGGGCCUU